UGUCACAGCUCACAACAACCAAAAUUAUAUAACAAAAUUGGACGAGUGGUUAUAGAAGUCAAUAAUAUAAAAGAGUUGAAAAGCUGGUAUGGGUUUUCUUCUUCCCACAUCGGUAAGUGAGUAGUAUCUAAAGCCCUUAAUAUAGCGCUCUAUCCGAGAUAUCAUUGUCCCUUCGGGGACAUCCGAUAAAAUUGGAACGAUACAGAGAAGAUUAGCAUGGCCCCUGCGCAAGGAUGACACGCACAAAUCGAGAAAUGGUCCAAAUUUUUUUUCCCCUUUCACGGCUAGGAAUUUAUCAGAAACAGAUGAUUACAUCCAUAUUUGUGGUAGACAAUUAAUUGUUUUGUUUGCUAGUUAAGUACCAUCUUCUGUUAUGAAUGAGAUUUUCAUGAUGAGAUCUAAAGUUAUUUAAUGCCAUAGUUAUUGCUAAUGAUGGAUGAUGCCAUUGAUGUUACAGAGUAACAAAGUUGCUUAAUUUUGUGUUUUAUAUACAAGUAUAUAUAUAUAUAUAUAUGUGUGUGUGUGUGUGUGUGUAUUUAGUUAGUGUACAUUGAUAGAGAUUAGAUGCACAUUUGCCUCAACCCGUCUUCCUAAUUUUACCAUAACAGGGUUACCAAUUGUUUGAGCAAUAUUCUGGGCUUCUGGCUUAAGUUAAAAUGACCAAAUCAGUGUUAAUCAUAUAUCUCCUGGAUAUGCAGUGAAAAACCAAUACAAUAGAGACCAACCAAGUUUGCUAAAUCAAACUGAACAGGAGUUGGAAUGAGACCAUUUGUAGCAUUUGGGGAACCUCUAGAAAGAGCUUUAAGGUCAAUUAUAUGCAAGUAAAAAGUUAUAACUUAAGUACCGGCUCAAACCACUUCUCGUUUUCUUUGUGUUUUAUAUACAGGAGAUGUUGGUUCUCCACUCCUGAUACCAGCCUCACAGGUGUCUCCAAUUCACCAUGCUGGGAUCACAACGGAUGUCUCAGAUGCCGCAUGGAAGAACAAUCAGGGAUCUGGAUCCAUCAUGUAGCACUGCUGUAGCCAACUUGUAUCCUGGUAUUCAGCUUAGGGUGCAACGAUAGUACCUAUAACCCUUGAACAAUGGAAUGGUUGAAGGAGUGGCAGUGGGGUAUUUAUGGUGUGGGAGGGAUGAAAUAAUGAAGAGUGAAAAGGGUGUUUCUGAAUGAAGUUUUUUUCUGUGUAAUUUAUGAUUGUGUAGAUCCUAGCCAGAAUGUUAUGCUUGGGCAUCUUGCAUUUGGAAGUUGCAAAAUGCAAAGUUUGUUAUUCGAUAAAGGUGAAGAAUUACGACACGAAAGAUUAAUUCAAAGUUGAUGAGUUUGAAUACGAAAUUUAGUAAACAAGCAGUCGGUUUUGAAUCAAAACUGGAGAGUGUGUGUUGUGCUUAGAAGAGUGCUGGUUUGGUUGAAGAAUGGAGAAAGUGGCGAAUUUAAUUUGUGAGGAUGAACAGUGUUCUUGACUUCAAAAGUGGCCAAACAAAGAACUGAAGAGAUGGCAAAUGGGGAUCGGCCAUUAAUGGGUGCAGAAGAUUUUGUGUUAUAUUGCAGAAGCGAUUUCCAUACUGGGGUGCAAUAGGAGACUGGAGAGAAGCUUGCAUCGAGGCUUUCUCAUACUUUAUGGUUAAUGAAGAUGUUUUGGCAUACGGUGCUGCUUUUCAUCCAUCAUUCAUAACAAGAUGUCUUCUUGAAUCUGAAGUCAGACUAGAUAUAAAGAGACAAGUUCCAAUGAUGAAUUUUGAUCUUAAAGAUGGCAUGUAAAUUGUGUAAAUAUUGAAGCAAUUUUAGAAUUACUUGUCUGAA